rnacentral:rRNA from 1 species
GGAUGCGAUCAUACCAGCACUAAAGCACCGGAU